UACUGUGCUAUUUCUAUUUCUAUUCACAGAGAUAUCAAAAAGGUCACAGUUCAAUUUUCAUAUCAGACUCCCAUCAAAAACAAAGCAUAUAAUACAGAAGCUGUUAGUAAGAAAGCAAUAGACAAGGCACACAGACAUAAAAAGAAAACCUUGAGCACAAAGUUUUUGGCUUAAGAAUUAUCAAAGUUGAAUCUUGCACUUCUGUGAUAUUUUCACUAAGGCAUCUCGGAAACUUUUGUGGCACAGAGGAUAGAUAAUGGGAUUCACUGAAGAGUUAAUCCACAACAUCCAGCUUGUAACUUGGUUCCAAUAAGAUUCAACACAGUCAUCGUGACAAGUGGCACGGAUAGUCUGGAGAAAUGUGUAUGGUGCCCAACAGAUCCCAAAUACACAUACCAGAACUGUUCCAGUAGAUACUGAGGUUAAAAUAAGAAAUGCUUGUUAAUGGCAGAAAAAAGUCAAAGGUUGAUGCUCCAAGAAGAAAGUACCAGCUGUAAUAAUAUCCAGCAACACACAUGCCUUCAGGAAUCAGGGGAUCACCAUUCAGAUAUUCCCAAAAUAUAAUGGCUGGGCUGUAAAGAAGGAAGGACAGUACCCAAACUGCAGUCAUCUUAGCAGCAGUCUGACUGUGGUUGGUCUGCUGAGAACGAUACAUCACCUACCCAGUAUGAGAAUAAAGAAAUCAGACUGUUAGCUUUAACUUAUAAAGUAAUUCUCCUAAUAAAUAAUAUGUAUUUUUAAUAGAGAUGUGCAGGUUCGGAUUUACACGGAUUUACUCCCAUCUCAAAACAGCAUCUUAUUAGCUAUCCGGCUGUCACGUGUUUUGGAUAACCAAUAAGAAAAAUACUGAUACUGUAAAUCCAAACUUGAGCUAAUUUGGCGUUAAGAACUGAGUAAAUCUGAACCUGUACAUCUCUAAUUUUUAUAAAUAUUUGGUCAACAUAUGUGACGAAUGCCUUCAACAAAAUCUCAUGUUAACAUUAUUUUAUAUGGCUAAGAAUAUGUAAAGAAAAAUCUACUGCAAAGCUACUGCAUAUACCUGGCCCGAACUGGUCAUUUGACAAAUGCCAGAAGGACCGAUGGUCUGUUGGGCUGGUCCGGCCACAGGUGAGGCCCCCCUGACGGAUGGCAGGCCCCCGUGAGCCAUGGCCAUGCCCUCUGUUUGUGCACGCUCCCCACUCUUCAUGGCGCUCACACUGACAUGCUAGGGCUGUGAAGUAGCCAUAGUCCGUUCCUGGUAUACACACACCAUGAACUUUCCUAUUGUGAAGAAUAUCAGUCCGUACAGUAUACACUUACAUUUCAGGUAUUCAUUUAUAAAUCCAGUCUAAUCCAGGCACAAACUGACUUUAUACAGAGUGGGGUGUAAUAAAGAGGGUGACAGCCCAUGCUCUAUUGCAUUGUAAUGCAGUUGCAGAGGAUAGAGUUGGUGGGGUAUGCAGCCAUUAUGCCGACAUUCAGAAUGUUGACAUGGACAUAAUGUCAACAUAAUAAUGUCGACACUGAAUGGCAACAUGCACAAUGUCGAAAGUACAUGUUAGUGUUAUGUUUAAGAAUCGGGUCAAGGUUAGGUUUAGGGUUAAGGUUAGGCUGCAGAUAGAGUCAGGGCUCUAACUGCAGCCUAAACGCCCUAAACACCCUAAAAAUGCUAUGUCAACAUGCCAACGGUCAACAAGCACAGUGUUGACAUUAUGACCAUGUUGACAUUGUGAAUAUCGAUGUAUCCUGUGUUGACAUAGGUUCAUGUCAUUUUGUACCACACCCGCUGGUGGUAAACUACAGUAAUGUGGUCGGAAGUAUAAAAAAGUAAGCACUGUAAUGUAAAUUCCCAGCCUCAUACAUAUAAAAACAGCAUUCAGCACUCUCUUCAGUAGUACUUAAUAUAGUGUAGCUAGAAAAAUGUCAGUGAUUGAAAUAUGAAGUCUCCUAAACACAGCAGUGACACCUGGCUCAGCUGGUCACAUUCACACUAACAGCUACUGUAGUAAAUGUUUCCAGGGUGGGAAAGAACAUGCAUAAGACGGGGUGUGAAUGGAGUAGUACACGAUACGUACAGCAAGAGUGAUAGAAAGGAAUCGGUCAUAACUGAUGAGGACAAUAUUAAACACUGAAGCAGUGCACAUGAGGUUGUCAGCUAUUAGCCACACUUUGCAGAGAAAGUGCCCAAGCGUCCACUUGCCAGUCACAAUGUAUGUGGCACUCACUGGUAUACAGAAUGCACCUUAUGAACGUAAAAGAGGAAAUUAGUAUAUUACUAGUAUUAUAAUAGCUUACCUUUAUAUAACAAUUAGGCUUAAUGAAUGGCAUGCAAAACGAAAGGUACAGUAUUUAAAGAGACAUCAUUUUAUUUCUCUAGUGAAUUUUAAAUCUCUGACACUGUCUAGCUAAUAUAUUCUUAUUUUAUUGAUUCAGAAUUGUUGUGAUUCAGAGUUGCACACAAAGCGGAUAUCCACUUGUAUUCAGAGUCGGCUACAUAUAUGUGACCAGUGGUGCUCAGAAAGGGUCGAUUACACUCAACAUCCCACUCCUCCCUAUCCUGACCACCAACCAGUGCCCACCCUAUGCGGUGUGCUAUUUUUUACAUUUUUGCACAAAGGGGGCCUGCCUACACCUCCCCAAGUUGGCCACACACCCUCACAGUACCCGGGCACUGUCACAUAAAUCUAAAUAUGCAAUAUACACAUUUUGAUGAUAAUGUUAAACAUACAGUUCCUGAUUCAGAACUGCAUGUCAAUUCGGCCACAUUGUGUGUUUGGAAAUAAAUGUUCAUAUUUGCUUAUAUACAGAGUUGGCCGUAUAUAUGCCUACCAUCACUCUAUCGGCACGUAUUGCACCAGCACUGUGCCUGGUGCAAGAGAUCCAUCUGAAAUCAGAUUGAUCUGUGUGUUCACUGAACUCUGAAAAGCCCCCAAUUCUGCCUGCACACCGACAUACACUAGGAACACUUACCCUAUGUAUAAAUGUCCAAUUAAUGCCAAUCAGUGCAAGUGGAGAUGUGGCUGAGAGGCGUACAACUCUGAUUCGCACACAUUGCACAAAGUGCUUGGCUCGGACACACGUGCAGUGUCAAAAAUCACAAGCUCCAUCUGCAUACAGGACAUCUGCGCAACUGUGAAUCAGAUCCACAAUGUUUCCUGCUAUUUUUGCAAUCUUUCUGUUGUUCGACAUACCAUUAAAUGAUGAUGGUUUAUUUUAAAUAAAAAAUGGUAGUAUUAUUAUUAUUAUUAUUAUUAUUAUUAUUAACAGAGAACCAGCUGCUUUUAUUGGUUUAUUCUAAGCCAAAUAAAAUGUCAACGUUAAAAAGACCUCAGUGACUGUAUAAAACCUUUUAAGUGGAUGGGGGAAGCAUUGAGUGACACAUGUAUUUCUGGCUAGACUAUUGUCCAUGCUACACUCACCCCUUAUCUGUAAUCGUGAUCUAUAUAUCUGUCUCACAGGCACUUCUCACAGGCACUUUCAGAUUUAAAUAGUAAUAGAAGCCAAUAAACUUACCGAUGAAUAAAUCACAGAUGGCCAGAUUGAGGAGGAAGAAGUUACUCUGGUUUCUAAGUCUUUUGUCAAUAAUAAAAGCUAAAAUAACAACAGUAUUGCCAAAAACAGUCACAGUGGUUAUCAGAGGUAUGAAGAUGUAUAGGAAAAUCAGCGUGCCCUCAGAGAAAUCAGAUUCCUUGUCAUACUCAGAAGAAUUGCUUUCACUAAUGUUUCCAAAAUAGAUUUCUUCCAUUGUGAAAUGUACAGUGCUGCAUACAUGAGCAUGCUUGUAUACUAUGUAUUGCUGAAUUAGGAACAAUAUAACUUUUUAAUAGGAUUAGACCCAAUUUGCAGGAUCUUUAAUAUUUUAGAAGAACCGCAAGAUACAUUAUUGUACUAUUUGUCCUUGCAAAAUUCAAGUUCUAGUUCUAUGCAGGUAAAAGCUGCUCUGUUAACAACUCACAGUGCAAUGGAAUAUGAUCAGUGCCCUGUUAAGCUGCAUCAUUUUAUAGCCUAACAUUAUUGUGGAUUGGAACCGUGUGGGCUUCAUGAUGUCACAAAACAGCAUUGACUAUAAUUCUUUAUUUUGCUUAUGUUGUUACCAUAGUGUAUAAAUGUGAAAAAAAAGAAUAUUAUUUGCAGAGUUAUGUAUAUUGACCUAUUAUUUCCCUUGUGCAAUUUAUAGUCCCAUUUCGUUCAUUAUUAUAAUUAUAGUCCCAGUGAUGAUUUAUACAGUGUGCCUGCGGUGAAAUGAUGUAUGCUUGGCAGUUUGGUCCAUUUAGCUCAUUAAAGCCAAGCAAGACAUGGCAAUAACUGAAAAAGAGUAAGGGGAAUAGUUAUUAUAAAAUGCAGCAAACCCCUGAAUACUAGUAAUCCUUAUCGCCGCCUAUCGUGACAAUAAGGUUUCUUUAUUUUCUUGACUGUUCAUAAUAUAAAUUGCCAGGACAUAGCUAGCAGCCUGUCCCGGUGUCCACCAAAUGACCCCCUUGUAGCUACCACGCAUGCGCAGCUUUCAAGGGAUGCCCGUGCAGUUUGGUAAUGAACCAUGAUGCUCAGCAGGAUCUAAUGGACAUGAUGCACAGCUGGGGAUAAUGUAGCCCACUGGCAGGUUCCUCAGUGCAGACAGUUCUUUAGAUGGUGUUAGCCCAUGCAGGCAGGAUCCACAAAGCUAUGGGGACGGCUGCUGCGAGGGCUAGCGUAUGAAAAGCGCCCUGACACUCAUGUGUCAGGGGGCAGGCAGAUAGCUAGCAAUGGACGCUGGUUGGCGCUGGAAUCUGGGGGGCAGGCUGAUCCAUCACUGCUGUCCUGUGCUACAGUGCUUCACCCCGGUGG